rnacentral:rRNA from 1 species
UGGGGAAUAUUGCACAAUGGGGGAAACCCUGAUGCAGCGACGCCGCGUGAACGAAGAAGGUAUUCGUAUCGUAAAGUUCUGUCCUAUGGGAAGAUAAUGACAGUACCAUAGAAGAAAGCUCCGGCUAAAUACGUGCCAGCAGCCGCGGUAAUACGUAUGGAGCGAGCGUUGUCCGGAAUUAUUGGGCGUAAAGGGUACGCAGGCGGUUUAAUAAGUCGAAUGUUAAGGAUCGGGGCUCAACCCCGCAAAGCAUUGGAAACUGAUAAACUUGAGUAGUGGAGAGGAAAGUGGAAUUCCUAGUGUAGUGGUGAAAUACGUAGAUAUUAGGAGGAAUACCAGUAGCGAAGGCGACGUUCUGGACACAAACUGACGCUGAGGUACGAAAGCGUGGGGAGCAAACAGG